rnacentral:rRNA from 1 species
UACAGAGGUCCCAAGCGUUGUUCGGAUUCACUGGGCGUAAAGGGUGCGCAGGUGGUCGGGUAAGUCUGAUGUGAAAUCCCGCAGCUUAACUGCGGAAUGGCAUUGGAUACUAUUCGGCUAGAGGGUUGGAGGGGGGACUGGAAUUCUCGGUGUAGCAGUGAAAUGCGUAGAUAUCGAGAGGAACACCAGUGGCGAAGGCGAGUCCCUGGACAACUCCUGACGCUGAGGCGCGAAAGCGUGGGGAGCAAACGGG